rnacentral:rRNA from 1 species
UACACAUGCAGUCGAGCGGUAGAGAGAAGCUUGCUUCUCUUGAGAGCGGCGGACGGGUGAGUAAUGCCUAGGAAUCUGCCUGGUAGUGGGGGAUAACGUUCGGAAACGGACGCUAAUACCGCAUACGUCCUACGGGAGAAAGCAGGGGACCUUCGGGCCUUGCGCUAUCAGAUGAGCCUAGGUCGGAUUAGCUAGUUGGUGAGGUAAUGGCUCACCAAGGCGACGAUCCGUAACUGGUCUGAGAGGAUGAUCAGUCACACUGGAACUGAGACACGGUCCAGACUCCUACGGGAGGCAGCAGUGGGGAAUAUUGGACAAUGGGCGAAAGCCUGAUCCAGCCAUGCCGCGUGUGUGAAGAAGGUCUUCGGAUUGUAAAGCACUUUAAGUUGGGAGGAAGGGCAGUAAAUUAAUACUUUGCUGUUUUGACGUUACCGACAGAAUAAGCACCGGCUAACUCUGUGCCAGCAGCCGCGGUAAUACAGAGGGUGCAAGCGUUAAUCGGAAUUACUGGGCGUAAAGCGCGCGUAGGUGGUUUGUUAAGUUGGAUGUGAAAGCCCCGGGCUCAACCUGGGAACUGCAUUCAAAACUGACGAGCUAGAGUAUGGUAGAGGGUGGUGGAAUUUCCUGUGUAGCGGUGAAAUGCGUAGAUAUAGGAAGGAACACCAGUGGCGAAGGCGACCACCUGG